AUACUUAGGAUCCAAGCGUUAUCCGGAUUUACUGGGCGUAAAGCGCAUGCAGGUGGUUUGGUAAGUUGGAUGUUAAAUCUCCCGGCUCAACCGGGAGCUGUCAUUCAAAACUAUCAAACUAGAGGACGGUAGGGGAAGGUGGAAUUCCAGGUGUAGUGGUGAAAUGCGUAGAUAUCUGGAGGAACACCGGUGGCGAAGGCGGCCUUCUGGCCCGCUCCUGACACUAAGAUGCGAAAGCUAGGGUAGCGAACGGGAUUAGAAACCCGGGUAGUCC
rnacentral:rRNA from 1 species